GCCUGUGUGGCUCAGUCGGUUGAGCGGCCGACUUUGGCUCGGGUCAUGAUCUCGCGGUCCGUGAGUUCGAGCCCCGCGUCAGGCU
rfam:Felis catus isolate Cinnamon breed Abyssinian chromosome X, whole genome shotgun sequence.